UAUUUUUGCCGUUUAAUGAUUGGCUAAUGUUAACGAAUGAAAAUUUAGCACAAAAGUUUUAAUUCGCGCUUCAAAAGCCAAUUUUUUACCGCCUUUAAAAUAAGUAAGAUGACACCUUUAGCUGAGUUCAUUGAAAGUAUCAAAGAAGAAAAAUUGGUUGAUUUUUUGCAACAAAAAAGGCUAAUACCACUUCAAAAACUUUGUCUAUGUGGUCAAAGGAUGCUUGUGCAAAAUAAUGAACGUUGUCAAGAAAAACAUAUUUGGCGAUGUAACACUUGCAAAAAGACGAAGUCAAUUCGAGCAGGAUUUUUUGAAAGCUCUACAUCUUUAAGU
rnacentral:lncRNA from 1 species